AUACAGAGGCCCCGAGCGUUAAUCGGAAUCACUGGGCUUAAAGGGUGCGUAGGCGGGUCAGUAAGCGCUUUGUGAAAUCCCACAGCUCAACUGUGGAACCGCAGGGCGAACUGCUGAUCUUGAGGAAGCUAGAGGCUGGUAGAACGAUAGGUGGAGCGGUGGAAUGCGUAGAGAUCUAUCGGAAUGCCGAAAGUGAAGACAGCCAGCUGGGGCUUUCCUGACGCUAAAGCACGAAAGCGUGGGGAGC
rnacentral:rRNA from 1 species